rnacentral:rRNA from 1 species
UGCGCAGGCGGCUGAGUGUGUCAGGUGUGAAAGCCCGAGGCUUAACCUCGGAAUUGCGCCUGAAACUGCUCGGCUAGAGGACUGGAGAGGGUAGCGGAAUUCACGGUGUAGCAGUGAAAUGCGUAGAUAUCGUGAGGAACACCAGAGGCGAAGGCGGCUACCUGGACAGUACCUGACGCUCAGGCACGAAAGCGUGGGGAGCAAAAGGGAUUAGAUACCCCUGUAGUCCACGCCCUAAACGGUGCACACUAGGUCUUGGCGGAUUCGACCCCUCCAGGGCCCAAGCUAACGCGUUAAGUGUGCCGCCUGAGGACUACGGCCGCAAGGCUAAA